UGCGUGUAAGCUGUAACGGAGUGCUUCGCGCACGGGCUGAAUGUUUAA
rnacentral:ncRNA from 1 species